CCCCGCCUCCCUCCAAACACCGGCCCCGGUGGUAACCUGCCAACUCCCGGAUCGGCCCCGCACGCCUCGGCCUCAGCCACCGCACUCCGCGCCGCCCGCCCCCGCCCUCAAGCUAGCGCGGCGCGCAGACUCCGCGCCGCCGCCCGGCGCCCCGCAGUCCCCGACGCCGCUUCCACCGCCGCCCCGCCCCGACCGGCGUUCCUCACGGCGAGCACCAGCGUUCCCCACCCCCACCCCGCUCCGCCGCCGCGCGGCCGUUAGGACCGCCGGGCCCGUGACGCACGGGAGCGACGCGAGGGUCCGGUCCCCCGCGCGCCAGCUCCAGCUCCGGCCGCCGCCCGUGUCCGCCUUCGCCCCGGGGCCUCCCUCGGGUCCGCAAAGGGAACCCAGAACCGCCCGCCGAGGGGGAGGGGCCGCAAGGAGCCCCCACUCACCGACUUCAGGCGACCGGCCCCGGUGCCACUACGAGGGUGAGACGCUCGCUCUUUGCCCGCCCGCUGCGCCUCUUCUGCGCACAACCUUGACCAGCCGGCGCGCACCACGGCGGCGCUCACCAGGCCUCGCUCUUCGCCGCCGCGCACAGAGCCGCGAGACCCAGCUCAGCCGGCGUGCGCACUGCGCCUGCGUGCGGGGGCCGGCCUGCGCGCCUGCGUGCGCUUCUCCGCCGCCCGCCGCAGGGGCUGCCGGGAAGCGGAGUCUCCGUGCGUGGACGCUCUAGGCUUAGUACGGGCCAGGGAAACCGCAGCGAUCAGGGCGUGGGACUCUUGAGGACGAGGUUGGCAGUCAGUAACAUGUAGAAGUUAUGGAAACAAACUUGUCCUUACUAAACUCUUCCAGAAUGGACGGAUUCCCCUCCUCACAUCAAUAUAGCUUCCCUCUCACAUGAGCUCAGGGGUGAAGGAUCCUUCCCCACAGCCAUCCACUGAUGCCUGCUUGCCUGUGCACAAGUAGGCAGCCCUGAAGACAAGCCCCAAGGACAAGCCCCAGAGACAAGCCCGAUACCUACCAUUGUGUGUGGAGUACAGUCUGUGGAAGCCGACUCUGCAUACUGCAUUGCAGAACUGGUGUGGGACCUGCUGAAACAACCUUUGGCUCCCAGAUCCCUUUGGCAUCUUCUCUUCCAUCAUCUUCUUCUUCUCUUGGAACGCAGCCAGCAACACCUCAUUGUCUACCUCCUCCACCUAUAAGCAGAGAGGAGAAGAGAACCGAUGGUCAGAAAAGUGGCGACUUAAAUUGUUUCCUGCACUGCUUGAAAAAUGCAUUGCUAUGUGGAUGGAGUAUAUGAAGUUUGCUUUUCAGUUCUCUCCUAAUUUGGCUUCUCUCUCUUCAAAAUCUACCUACUCCCCCCUUUUUUUUCCCAACAAAUGUAAUAAUGUCAGUUGUAUGCCUAUAGACCCAGAAGUAGAGACAGGAGGAUCAGAAAGAGAUCAAGGAGGAAGCACAAGGCCCUGGGUUCGGUCCCCAGCUCCGAAAAAAGAAAGAACCAAAAAAAAAAAAAAAAAAAAAAAAAGAAAGAGAUCAAGGACAA